rnacentral:lncRNA from 1 species
CGGGCGAGGGCGCCGAGGCGCGGCCCGGGCCGUCGCCGGAGAACGGCUGGCCAGCGUCGUGGGGCGCGCUCCUCGGAAAAGUAGAGGAAGCGCACAGGUGGCUGAGCAUACAAACUGAAGAAAAAAUUGAAAUGCCAUUUUAAAAACUUGAAAGGUUCCAGGACUACCUCAAAUGUAUUACGUCUCUAAUCAGUCUUUCUCCUUAAAAAUGCCUAUUAUUUCUUGGUGGACUGCAAAGAUUUCUGUUUUAUAUCUGCGCAUCUUGGGAAACAUUUUAUUUUCCUCAUAGAUUUAUUUGGCAUUUUUAUCUUUAUAUGAUUGAGUCAAAUCUCAAUACAAAGAACACCCCUUUCAUGCUUAUUUAUUACAACAUGAGCAUGCAGCCUCCAACCCCUGAUUCCUAGGUACAGAAAAAUAAAG